CUUUGACAAGUGUUAAAUAGUGAUUGCUAUGUUACUGGGUCAGAGAAUGUCCAAAACAACAAGUGCAGUGGUUAGUAUCUACAAAAAAUGGUGCAAGGAAACUGGUUAACUGACGUAAAGGUCAUGGGCGCCCAAGGCUCUUUGAUACAUACCACCUACGCACAGAAUGUUACAGACUACGUACAACCCCUCAUGGGAAUGGUGUUCUCUGAUGGCAGUAGCAUCUUUCAGCAGGAU